rnacentral:rRNA from 1 species
GACGAACGCUGGCGGCGUGCCUAAUACAUGCAAGUCGAGCGGACUUGAAGGAGUGCUUGCACUCCUGAGAGUUAGCGGCGGACGGGUGAGUAACACGUAGGCAACCUGCCCUCAAGACUGGGAUAACUACCGGAAACGGUAGCUAAUACCGGAUAAUUUAUUACAUAGCAUUAUGUGAUAAUGAAAGACGGAGCAAUCUGUCACUUGGGGAUGGGCCUGCGGCGCAUUAGCUAGUUGGUGGGGUAACGGCCCACCAAGGCGACGAUGCGUAGCCGACCUGGGGGGGUGAACGGCCACACGGGGACUGAAACCCGGCCCAGACCCCUACGGGGGGCAGCAGUGGGGAAUCUUCCGCAUGGGGCGAAAGCCUGCCGGAGCAACGCCGCGUGAGUGAUGAGGGUUUUCGGUUCGUAAAGCUCUGUUGCCAAGGAAGAACGUCCCCUGGGGUAACUGCUAGGAGAGUGACGGUACUUGAGAAGAAAGCCCCGGCUAACUACGU